GGGCAAUCUGAAGAACUGAAGCCAUCGUGCCCUGAGAGGAAAGAACAUAUGGAUGACGAUGAUGGACAGAUGGUGCAUGAAUCUAUCAAUCCACUUCAUUCAGAUGAAAAUUCAGAUGUUCAUGUGACAAAAAGCUUCGCAGAAGGUAAUAGGAUUGUCCAACCAGAACCAAAGAAGAAGGAAGACAAAGAUGAUUUUCAAGAGCCUGAAGUUAGACACAAAAGCCGAAUGAGGACUAAAACU